rnacentral:rRNA from 1 species
ACGGAGGGUGCAAGCGUUAAUCGGAAUUACUGGGCGUAAAGGGUACGUAGGCUGUUAAAUAAGUUGGAUGUGAAAUCCCUGGGCUCAACCUAGGAACUGCAUCCAAAACUGUUUAGCUAGAGUGUAUAAGAGGUUAGCGGAAUUCCAGGUGUAGCAGUGAAAUGCGUAGAUAUCUGGAGGAACAUCAGUGGCGAAGGCGGCUAACUGGUAUAACACUGACGCUGAGGUACGAAAGCGUGGGGAGCGAACGGG